rnacentral:sRNA from 1 species
UGGGUCUGGGUUAGGUGACGGCCUAUCUUAUUCUAACCCUAUUUGGGAAGGGCAUAGGCGCCGCGCCUUUGCUCCCCGCUUACUGUUUUCCCGCUGCCACCAUCCGAUCUAGAGCAAACAAAAAUAUCAGCGGCUGGCCAGGUCACCCUUCCCAGAAACCUGUGGGACUCACCUGCCCAGCCCCCGCACCCCGACCUGGAGGCUCUGCAGUCGCCCAGGGCUUCUCCGGAAGAGCCUUUGAACAGCACUAGUGAUGCCUUGAGAUCCUCCAGGCACACUGGAGAAGGCAACACAGAUGUGAAUAUAAACAGUC